GACGAACGCGGCGGCGUGCUUAACACAUGCAAGUCGAACGCUGAAGCCUGGCUUUUGUUGGGUGGAUGAGUGGCGAACGGGUGAGUAACACGUGAGUAACCUGCCCCCUUCUUUGGGAUAACGCCCGGAAACGGGUGCUAAUACGGAUAUUCACUGGUCUUCGCAUGGGGGUUGGUGGAAAGGGUUUUCUGGUGGGGGAUGGGCUCGCGGCCUAUCAGCUUGUUGGUGGGGUGAUGGCCUACCAAGGCUUUGACGGGUAGCCGGCCUGAGAGGGUGACCGGUCACAUUGGGACUGAGAUACGGCCCAGACUCCUACGGGAGGCAGCAGUGGGGAAUAUUGCACAAUGGGCGCAAGCCUGAUGCAGCGACGCCGCGUGAGGGAUGGAGGCCUUCGGGUUGUGAACCUCUUUCGCUCAUGGUCAAGCCGCAACUGUGGGUUGUG
rnacentral:rRNA from 1 species